rnacentral:rRNA from 1 species
AUGUCUAAUACAGCUACACUGAGCGGUCGGGUCAGAGCCCCAUCCGGAGCUUUGAACAUCCUCAGCUGGAACUGUCGAGGGGGAGGGAGCCCAACGACAGUUCGUGACCUGAAGUGUUUGGUGCAGACUCACUCUCCCAAGAUCGUUUUUCUUUGUGAAACUAGACAAUCUAAAGUGAAGAUGAAAAGAUAUCGAGCUCGGUUAGGCCUUAGUGGUUUCGAUGCAGUCGAUAGUGUUGGUCACAGUGGUGGUUUAGCUAUCUUUUGGCAUGAGUCAUUGCAUCUCGAAAUUAAAUCCAUGUGUGAGAGACAUAUCGAUGUGUAUGUGAGAGAAUCUGCUGAUGCAACACCCUGGAGGCUGACUUGUGUGUACGGCGAACCUCGGACAGAGAACCGUCACCUUAUGUGGAAGCUCAUGCGCGAUUUACACCUGCAAGAGAACAUGCCAUGGCGGUGA